ACUCUAAAUUUUUGUGAAAAAUAAAUUGAAAAUGGCCAGGGAAAAUGGCUUCAAAGUAGAUGAAUUUUCUGGGACACUUUUCGGGGUAACCGACUCCAUU